AUCAUCCAAAGGUGAUGAGGGAAGCGUGGUUAAAUAAAGUUUUACUACUACUGCUGCUGCUGCUGCUGCUGCUGCUGCUGCUGCUGCUGCUGCUGCUGCUGCUGCUGCUGCUGCUGCUGCUGCUGCUGCUGCUGCUGCUGCUGCUGCUGCUGCUGCUGCUG